rnacentral:rRNA from 1 species
UACGGGGGGAACGAGCGUUGUUCGGAUUUACUGGGCGUAAAGGGCACGCAGGCGGGAAAGCAAGUCAGCUGUGAAAUUUCUCAGCUUAACUGGGAAACUGCAUUUGAUACUGCUUUUCUUGAGUACGAGAGAGGAUGGCGGAAUUCUUGGUGUAGCGGUGAAAUGCGUAGAUAUCAAGAAGAACACCGGUGGCGAAGGCGGCCAUCUGGCUCGAUACUGACGCUCAUGUGCGAAGGUCGGGGGAGCAAAC